AAAAAGCUCCUAGCAAGGGGAGCCAAGAAGAGCAGCUUCUACAGACUACCCAUAGGGGUUUGAGAGUCAGCUUCUAGGGAGGAAAGCCUAAGACAGGCAGGAGUGGAGGGCUGAAAGCCAGAGAGCUAAGACCAGCUGAAAUCUGAGAGCCUAAAGGUUAGAAGCUGAGAGCCAAGAGGGAGAGAGCUGGUGGGUCAGUGAAUUGGUGCCUGAGGAUGCUGCCUAGAGUGCCUUUCUCUGGGGAGCUAACCAGAGACUAGCUUUGAAAAGUUCAUUUACAAAAUGAAAACCAGAUUGGAAGACACCAUUUUAUUUGGAAAGAUGUUUAAGCUUUCAACAUUGUCCUUGGCAUAUACUGUCCUGGAUCAUAAUUCUGAAUCCAAAGAGUCCCCCAGAUUUUGGACCAGUUCAAAUCUGAAUACCAAUGCUACAACUUAGGGUUUUAAUUCUACAUGUAUGAAGAUUAUGGAGUGUGAAGGAGCCAGCUGUUGGGUGCCACAUAAGUAAAAAAUGGCCAGCUUCUAAUAGUCAUCUGUUUUCAUUUUCUGUUGUAUCUCUUUCCCUGUGCUAUAUGUGUAGAAGUCAUAAUCUUUGCUUUUGUGUUUACAUUUAUGGGGUUUGUUUGUUUGUUUUUACAGCUAAUUGAAAAAUGAAUAUAUACAUUUUUUAACAAGUCAAAUCCUAUUUCUAGUUCAUUGAGUAGGAGUGUUGCUAUUGGCUUCAAUGAAAUCAAAAUGUAGCUCUAAGUGAACAAACAACAAAAAAUACAGAGUUCAGUUUGCUAAAUUAUGUUGUCAUCAUUUCUUCUUUGUAAGUAUUCAUACACUUGUUGGAGAGCUGCUCAUAGAUCCCAAAUGUUUCGUCAUUUUAACACAACUGUUCAAGCAAAUAU